rnacentral:rRNA from 1 species
CAGUCGCCGCGGUAAUACGUAGGUGGCAAGCGUUGUCCGGAAUUAUUGGGCGUAAAGGGCUCGCAGGCGGUUUCUUAAGUCUGAUGUGAAAGCCCCCGGCUCAACCGGGGAGGGUCAUUGGAAGCUGGGAAACUUGAGUGCAGAAGAGGAGAGUGGAAUUCCACGUGUAGCGGUGAAAUGCGUAGAGAUGUGGAGGAACACCAGUGGCGAAGGCGACUCUCUGGUCUGUAACUGACGCUGAGUAGCGAAAGCGUGGGGAGCGAACAGGAUUAGAUACCCGUGUAGUCCCUGUCUCUUAUAC